AUGGUCUUGUGGCUAAACUUGGUGUCCUUUUUGGCAGUCCUCAGAGGAGCUCAGUCUGAGGGCCAGUUGGUGGAGUCUGGAGGGGAUGUGAGAAGGCCUGGAGAGUCCCUCCGCCUCUCCUGCCAAGCCUCCGGAUUCACUUUCAGCAGUUAUGGCAUGAACUGGUUCAGACAGGCUCCAGGGAAAGGCCUGGAGUGGGUAGCCCACAUAAAUCCAAGUUCCAGUACUUACCACUCGGACAAAGUGAAGGGACGCUUCACCAUCUCCAGGGACAACUCCAAAAGCCAACUCUAUCUGCAGAUGAACAGCCUGAAGCCGGAGGACUCGGCAGUCUAUUAUUGUGAACGUGGCCAAGGGAACAACUGCGAAGGAAACAUCCUGAACUCCGAUGUGCCAUCCUUUCCAUGUCUGGGCUCUAACGUGGCUGUUUAA